rnacentral:tRNA from 1 species
AGGUGUAGCUCCACUUGGCAGAGCAGCGGAUUCCAAAUCCGCGUGUUGGGAGUUCGAAUCUCUCCACCUGCCA